rnacentral:rRNA from 1 species
UACGGAGGGUGCAAGCGUUAUCCGGAUUCACUGGGUUUAAAGGGUGCGUAGGCGGAUAGGUAAGUCCGUGGUGAAAUCCUGCAGCUUAACUGCAGAACUGCCGUGGAUACUAUCUAUCUUGAAUAUCGUGGAGGUUAGCGGAAUAUGUCAUGUAGCGGUGAAAUGCUUAGAUAUGACAUAGAACACCCCAUUGCGAAGGCAGCUAACUACGCGAUCAUUGACGCUGAUGCACGAAAGCGUGGGGGAUCAAACAGGA